CCUACGGGAGGCAGCAGUGAGGAAUAUUGGUCAAUGGGCGCUAGCCUGAACCAGCCAAGUAGCGUGAAGGAUGACUGCCCUAUGGGUUGUAAACUUCUUUUAUAUGGGAAUAAAACGUUCCACGUGUGGGAUUUGUAUGUACCAUAUGAAUAAGGAUCGGCUAACUCCGUGCCAGCAGCCGCGGUAAUACGGAGGAUCCGAGCGUUAUCCGGAUUUAUUGGGUUUAAAGGGAGCGUAGGUGGAUUGUUAAGUCAGUUGUGAAAGUUUGCGGCUCAACCGUAAAAUUGCAGUUGAAACUGGCAGUCUUGAGUACAGUAGAGGUGGGCGGAAUUCGUGGUGUAGCGGUGAAAUGCUUAGAUAUCACGAAGAACUCCGAUUGCGAAGGCAGCUCACUGGACUGCAACUGACACUGAGGCUCGAAAGUGUGGGUAUCAAACAGGAUUAGAUACCCGGGUAGUC
rnacentral:rRNA from 1 species